UGGAGAUGUAGUUCAGUGGUAGAGCAUUUGCCUAGCAUGCACAAGACCCUGACUUUGAUUCACAGAACUUAAA
rnacentral:tRNA from 1 species